rfam:Dipodomys ordii contig_22622, whole genome shotgun sequence.
GGGAAUGUGGCUCAGUGGUAGAGUGCUUGCCUAGUAUGCAUGAGGCCCUAGGUUCGAUUCUUUAGUACCCC